rnacentral:rRNA from 1 species
AGUGAACGCUGGCGGUAGGCCUAACACAUGCAAGUCGAACGGCAGCACAGUAAGAGCUUGCUCUUACGGGUGGCGAGUGGCGGACGGGUGAGGAAUACAUCGGAAUCUACUUUUUCGUGGGGGAUAACGUAGGGAAACUUACGCUAAUACCGCAUACGACCUACGGGUGAAAGCAGGGGAUCUUCGGACCUUGCGCGAUUGAAUGAGCCGAUGUCGGAUUAGCUAGUUGGCGGGGUAAAGGCCCACCAAGGCGACGAUCCGUAGCUGGUCUGAGAGGAUGAUAAGCCACACUGGAACUGAGACACGGUCCAGACUCCUACGGGAGGCAGCAGUGGGGAAUAUUGGACAAUGGGCGCAAGCCUGAUCCAGCCAUACCGCGUGGGUGAAGAAGGCCUUCGGGUUGUAAAGCCCUUUUGUUGGGAAAGAAGAGCAGCAGGUUAAUACCCCGCUGUUCUGACGGUACCCAAAGAAUAAGCACCGGCUAACUUCGUG